rnacentral:rRNA from 1 species
UACGGGGGAGGCAAGCGUUGUUCGGAAUUACUGGGCGUAAAGGGUUCGUAGGUGGCUCGCUAAGUCAGACGUGAAAUCCCUCAGCUUAACUGGGGAACUGCGUCUGAGACUGAUGAGCUUGAGUGCAGGAGAGGAACGCGGAAUUCCAGGUGUAGCAGUGAAAUGCGUAGAGAUCGGGAGGAACAUCUGUGGCGAAGGCGACUGCCUGGACCAGCACUGACACUGAGGCACGAAAGCGUGGGGAGCAAACAGG